AGAGUUUGAUCCUGGCUCAGAUUGAACGCUGGCGGCAUGCCUUACACAUGCAAGUCGAACGGCAGCACGAGAGCUUGCUCUUGGUGGCGAGUGGCGAACGGGUGAGUAAUAUAUCGGAACGUACCCUAGAGUGGGGGAUAACGUAGCGAAAGUUACGCUAAUACCGCAUACGAUCUACGGAUGAAAGUGGGGGAUCGCAAGACCUCAUGCUCAUGGAGCGGCCGAUAUCUGAUUAGCUAGUUGGUGGGGUAAAAGCUCACCAAGGCGACGAUCAGUAGCUGGUCUGAGAGGACGGCCAGCCACACUGGAACUGAGACACGGUCCAGACUCCUACGGGAGGCAGCAGUGGGGAAUUUUGGACAAUGGGCGCAAGCCUGAUCCAGCAAUGCCGCGUGAGUGAAGAAGGCCUUCGGGUUGUAAAGCUCUUUUGUCAGGGAAGAAACGGUGGACUCUAAUACAGAUCACUAAUGACGGUACCUGAAGAAUAAGCACCGGCUAACUACGUGCCAGCAGCCGCGGUAAUACGUAGGGUGCAAGCGUUAAUCGGAAUUACUGGGCGUAAAGCGUGCGCAGGCGGUUGUGCAAGACAGAUGUGAAAUCCCCGGGCUCAACCUGGGAAUUGCAUUUGUGACUGCACGGCUAGAGUGUGUCAGAGGGGGGUAGAAUUCCACGUGUAGCAGUGAAAUGCGUAGAGAUGUGGAGGAAUACCGAUGGCGAAGGCAGCCCCCUGGGAUAACACUGACGCUCAUGCACGAAAGCGUGGGGAGCAAACAGGAUUAGAUACCCUGGUAGUCCACGCCCUAAACGAUGUCUACUAGUUGUCGGGUCUUAAUUGACUUGGUAACGCAGCUAACGCGUGAAGUAGACCGCCUGGGGAGUACGGUCGCAAGAUUAAAACUCAAAGGAAUUGACGGGGACCCGCACAAGCGGUGGAUGAUGUGGAUUAAUUCGAUGCAACGCGAAAAACCUUACCUACCCUUGACAUGUCUGGAAUCCUUGAGAGAUCAGGGAGUGCUCGAAAGAGAAUCAGAACACAGGUGCUGCAUGGCUGUCGUCAGCUCGUGUCGUGAGAUGUUGGGUUAAGUCCCGCAACGAGCGCAACCCUUGUCAUUAGUUGCUACGAAAGGGCACUCUAAUGAGACUGCCGGUGACAAACCGGAGGAAGGUGGGGAUGACGUCAAGUCCUCAUGGCCCUUAUGGGUAGGGCUUCACACGUCAUACAAUGGUACAUACAGAGGGCCGCCAACCCGCGAGGGGGAGCUAAUCCCAGAAAGUGUAUCGUAGUCCGGAUUGUAGUCUGCAACUCGACUACAUGAAGUUGGAAUCGCUAGUAAUCGCGGAUCAGCAUGUCGCGGUGAAUACGUUCCCGGGUCUUGUACACACCGCCCGUCACACCAUGGGAGCGGGUUUCACCAGAAGUGGGUAGCCUAACCGCAAGGAGGGCGCUCACCACGGUGGGAUUCGUGACUGGGGUGAAGUCGUAACAAGGUA
rnacentral:rRNA from 1 species